AAACAUUUCCACUUUUCCCGGUCGUAUUUGGCAUUUUUUGGGGGGAUGAAUUGUCAGUCUCAUUACCCCCUUCAUCUACAGUUUUUCGUUUUGAAACGGAUAAAGUUCCUGGGGUUCCCGUAUUAAAAUAUUAAGAAAUAUUUUGUUGCAUGGUUUCGUGCUCAAGAGCUGUGCGACAAGACAGGUCAAUACCGAUCAAUACAUCAUACCCCCAAAUACCGUUAAUUGAAAAUCUCGGCAUCAGCAAUGUACAAUACCCCAGGCCAUGGUAUGAGAAAUCAAUAUUUAAAGUACUAGAAUUGCAAUCAACAUACGAUACCGAGCAGCCAGAGUUGUUUUUCUAUUUUUAAAAUAUGUACAACAGGAC
rnacentral:lncRNA from 1 species